CUGCUGCCUUCCGUAGGAGUUUGGGCCGUGUCUCAGUCCCAAUGUGGCCGUUCACCCUCUCAGGCCGGCUACUGAUCGUUGCCUUGGUAGGCCAUUACCCCACCAACUAGCUAAUCAGACGCGGAACCAUCGUAUACCACCAGAGUUUUUCACACCGCUUCAUGCGAAGCUGUGCGCUUAUGCGGUAUUAGCACCUAUUUCUAAGUGUUAUCCCCCAGUAUACGGCAGGUUUUCCACGCGUUACUCACCCGUCGCCA
rnacentral:rRNA from 1 species